AGGAAGCACGUAGGGUGGCGCAUCCAGUUUAUUAUUAUUAAUGAUUAUUGUUUAUUUCAUUUGUUUGCUAAGUGUGGAUGCUGUCAAUGCCACAAAGAGCAUUUAAUUGAGUAUUUGGGGGGGAGGGAGAAGGAAUGAAGGGAAACAAGAGAGGGAAUAUAUAACUGUGGCAUGAUAUUUUCCCCCAAAACCAAGGUUUGUGAAUUCAACAUCAUGCAUAGCAGCUAAGGAGUAAACAUUCUACCUUAUACAUCAAGAUCCUUUUGCAGUCUGGGCAGAGACUUCAGACAGGAACCCUCACCUGCAUCUCUGCCUGCAAUCAGGCAGCUAGGGUGUAAUAGGAUAUCUUAAUGAGCCUAACUGACAACAUGCAACCCUGAAUCCCAGAGACCAGAGAGAGAAACCAGCAGUAGGAAAGCAGACAGAAGUGGUAAAGGAACUGCAGCUCCUGCUGCCACUCUGGAUUUCUCAGCCUUCCAGACUGAUAAGAAGGGUUGAUUCUGGUGUGCUGAAUCAAUGUUACUUAUGAGAGGCUGGUAACCACUGGAAGUAAUUGAAGGGCAAUUGCUGAAGCGAAAUCAGCAAUGCAUCAGUGCUGCAGCAUUCUAUGAUAUUUUGCAGGAGGUCUUUUCCAUAUCAUUUGUGCUAGAAAAACUGAGAGGCCUCAGGGACAAUGAGCUAGUAUAAAUAAAGCUUCAGAUAGGACCUACAAUACCUUUAGGAGGAAAAGUAUAUACAGUGGAGAAUUUUGGUAA